rnacentral:rRNA from 1 species
ACUCCUACGGGAGGCAGCAGUGGGGAAUAUUGCACAAUGGGGGAAACCCUGAUGCAGCCAUGCCGCGUGUGUGAAGAAGGCCUUGGGUUGUAAAGCACUUUCAGUAGGGAGGAAGGUAGUGUAGUUAACACCUGCAUUAUUUGUACGUUACCUACAGAAGAAGCACCGGCUAACUCCGUGCCAGCAGCCGCGGUAAUACGGAGGGUGCGAGCGUUAAUCGGAAUUACUGGGCGUAAAGCGCAUGCAGGCGGCCUGUUAAGUCAGAUGUGAAAGCCCGGGGUCUUAACCUCGGAAUUGCAUUUGAAACUGGCAGGCUAGAGUCUGUAGAGGGGUUAGAAUUUCAGGUGUAGCGGUGAAAUGCGUAGAGAUCUGAAGGAAUACCGAGU